rnacentral:rRNA from 1 species
AACGUAGGUGGCAAGCGUUAUCCGGAUUCACUGGGUUUAAAGGGUGCGUAGGUGGGCAGGUAAGUCAGUGGUGAAAUCUCCGAGCUUAACUCGGAAACUGCCGUUGAUACUAUUUGUCUUGAAUAUUGUGGAGGUAAGCGGAAUAUGUCAUGUAGCGGUGAAAUGCUUAGAUAUGACAUAGAACACCAAUUGCGAAGGCAGCUUACUACACAACGAUUGACGCUGAGGCACGAAAGCGUGGGGAUCAAACAGG